rnacentral:sRNA from 1 species
GUUUUGUACGAUUCGCCGGAAAUCUCCACGCACUUUCUGGAUAUCGGCUGCU